CUCUCCAGAAGUUCCUUAAUGUCUCUGUUUCCAUUGCCAUUGUUCAGCAUCUCGUCAUACCAAGAACGCCUCAUGUCUUCCCAAUAGCUUCGUGGCCUUGCUAUGUCACUAAACCAAUCAUAUGGGGCUUCCUCAACGUAAUCCUGCUGUUCUUCUUCUUCUUCUUCUUCAUCAAAUUCUUCUUCAUCUCCCUCUCCAUCUCCUUCUUCUUCUGGCUCUGGUUCUUCCCCGAUUGCACAGUCCAAAAACCGUUCUUGCCAUGCUUCCACCGAAUCCUGAAAUAGGCUGGUUUCUGCCUUCUCGGGUUCAGGGUAGUUUGAUUGCUCCUCUACAUGAUGAUUCACCACUACAUCCUCAACUCUUUCACCUGUCUCUUUCUUAUCCAAUACCUGUUCUUGUCUCGACUCUUGCCUCACCUUCUGC
rnacentral:lncRNA from 1 species